UGAGUAAAUUAGUAAGAUGCUGCUUGCCCUCCGACGAGGCCCCUGCUGUACGUCUGGGUGUGCAGUGUGUGCUCAGCUCCCUGGUGUAAUCCCGGGAGCUUCCCGGGGCCUCGGGGCGGGGACCCCUGUGUGACCGAACAGACAGUGGCCGCAGCCCCUGCUGUCAGGAUGUAGGCUCUUCAGGCAGGUGUUCCGUUUCACCGGGAAAGUUCCAGAAGCUGCUGUCCUCUUCAGCCGGGGCUGGCUGAAAUUCCCAAGGGAACGGGGAUGCUGUGGGGCGUCCCGUGUACGCGCUGCUUCCAGGCCGGACCCCUAGGACUCUGGGUGGAAGGGUCUCUGUUGCCAUGUGACCUCGUCGCCUGCGUGACUCAGUCUGUCAGCCAUUCUGGCGUGUUGAAGGACGUUCCGGUGCAUCAGGUCAGCGGGUUCCUCUCACGAUGGGGCCACGACUGUCCUCGCAAUCUCCAGCGUGUUGAAAAGGCAUCUGUCACGUCAUGAGGACACUCAAGGAGCCCCAUGGCGAGGUCCAUGUAGCGAGGAACUCAGCCCUUCUUAACAGCAGCCAGGAAAAAACUGAGGCCUCCCGCCAUUGGCCACUGAAUGGACAAUCUUGGAAAUAGAUCCCUCACCCCCAGUCAGGUCUUCAGAUACUGUAGCCCUGGCUAACAUCUUUGACUGCAACCUGAUGAGAGAUUAUGAACCAGAACCACCCAGCCAAGCUGCUCCUAGAUUUCUGACCCGCAGAAGCAACGAUGACAAAAAGGCAGAGUUCUAGAAGAUUGAAAACACAAAAUUGGAAAGCUUGGAUUAUAUAGAACUCUACAACCCAAAUCAGAAGGCUCAACAGCAUUGACCUGGCAGGACCACUUAAGACUUCAAGACUCCUGGAACUCCCUUGGUACCUGGGCCUCGUGCAGUGGCUUCUAGUGCAGAAAGUUAAAGGUCUAGUCUAAGUCUUCAAGGUUGAGAAGGUUUCCUGGAGCAGACAAAACGUCUUGGAGAAAGGCGAAGGCAGCUGGGUGUCCCCUCCCCUCGGACGCUAGGCCUGGGCGGAGGGAGAGGUCACGGGUCCCAGGAGCAGCACAGACCUGGCCUGGCUCCCUGCCAGGACUCAGAAGCUUCAUGUGCCACCGCAGGGAAGGAUGGCAAGAGAGUGUGUCCGGGUGGGGGAGCCAGUUUAAGUGGAAUUUGCAGAGUUUGGGGGCAUAGGGACCAGAGGGCAGGGACUAUGGACAUCUCAGCAGUAACCAUGUGACAUUCGUCCAACAAGAUGGCUUGGCCCAGUCUAAGAUUUGGGGGCUGGAGUGCACAACAGCACGGGGGCAAGGAAGUACGAAACUCAUCCCCAAGAAGGACCAGAAUUCAGCUUCCCCCCAGUUCGGCCGAAUAGUUGAUUUAUGAAAAACGAAGUUCAAUAUCACGUGCGCCUGAGUUCUCCGACUGAGAUUGCUACCCGGCACACCUGUUCUUACAUAGUGAGUCCUGGGGAUCCAAUCUGUUCCUGUUCCCAGAAAAAUCACUGGGUCCCUUCUGCUGGGGUAGGAGGUGGAGAGGAGGGGCUAGCUUUCCCUGAGACACCAGAUGACAGUUCCCCAGGGAGUUAAUCCUGCCACUUGCCCAGUUCCCUGAGCCUCGUGAGUCAGGGAGCUUGGGGGAGCAUGCUGCAGUGGCCAGGAGAAGACUGAGGGAAAGGAGGCUGGGGGGGGGGUGGAUUUUCAAUCCAUUUCAGAGUUGCCUACUGAGCAUCUGUGAUGUGCCAAGCCCUAGGCUAGGCACUGGGGGAUAAGUAAAAGAAAGAAUGCAAGAAAGCAUUGUGUCAGAGCCUGGCAUACAGUAGGUGCUUCAUAAAUGCUCAUUCAUAAGAGCUCUCGUGCUCUUCCUUGGAAAGAUACAAGAUGAAGAAAAUACAGUUUCAUCCUCAAGGAUCUUAAGAUCCUGUAAGAGGCCAGGACCCUUUUGCACAUUCCUCAGACUCAGAGCACAGUAAGCAAUGCAGCCCAGGCCCGAAGAUCCAGGGGCUCAAGGGAGGGAGAGAGAUGUGAUGGAGACUUCGCAGAAGAGGGCUCAACCAUGUGUACACAGGAGAGGUGGGAGAUGAGGAGGGGGACAGGGGAACGGACUCAUGGGAAGCUGUCGGGAGACAGGGCCACAAGAGAACACAUUCCGGCAGUCCCUAACCUCCGGAGUGAAAGUUCAUGUGCAGAUCAGUUGCUUGGAAUUUGGAAUGCGUUUUCCCAUGGGAACAAUACCAUAAAUGGAGGCUAGGUUCUCAGGCAACAGGCAACUGACUUACCCAUACUGUUAUUUAGCUAGAUUACUCACGCCGUUCCCCAGACCAGGGCUCAGGGAGGUGGGAGCCCUGUGGCCCAACUCCUUUCUUGGGGGGAGGGGGCUGGACCUGCCUUAGGCCGAGGGCUUCUUGUCUGGGCUUUGGUGUGGUUCAGGAAGGGAUUCAACUUGAAAAGUCCUAAGGUUAGUCUUUAGCGUAUUUGAUAACAAAGCCAUCUGCCCACAUACAUUUAUAAUCAUAUUAAAGGACUAGUUUGCAGGAAGAAGAGGUGAAGAAAGUUCUAAAUUGCUACCAAAUCAGCAGCCGGACCUGUCUCGGAAUUUCAGUUUCUGUUUGAUGUAAAUGCUUCCUCAUUCCUAAUCCAGCGUGACUGGUGUCCUAUGAAAAGAAGGAAUUUUGGACACAAACACCCACACGGGGAGAACGCCAUACGAGACGACGGUGUCUAUGAGGCAAGGAGUUCUCAGGAUUGCCAGCAAAUCGCCCAAAGAGGCACGGCCGAGAUGCUCCCUCACGGCCCUCAGAAAAAAACCAUCCUGCUGACACCUUCACCUCAGACUUCCGACCCCCAGAGCAGUAACGUAGCGUAUUUCUGUUAAGGUUGUGGUACUUCGCCACGGCCGUUCCAGAAAAGGAGCCCAGCCAUUUCUGUGGUCAGAGACAACGUACAACCUGACCCCACCACCUGUGUUACAGCUGGGCCGGGACCUCCCACAAAGCCAGCCACCUGCAGGACCAGUGCCCUCCGACAUGGCCUGCUUCGAGAUCUGUGCCCCGCAUGUGCCCCCAAUACCAGCCGCCCAAGCAGACUGGCUUUCUUGAAGGGUUUAAAGGAAGUGCCAGAGGGGUGGGGAUGGGGCGCCCCAUUGGGCUCAGUGGGUAGAGCAUGCGACUUUUGAUCUCAGGGUUGUGAGUU